GUGCCAGCCGCCGCGGUAAUACCGGCAGCCCAAGUGAUGGCCGCUGUUAUUGGGCCUAAAGCGUCCGUAGCUGGCCGCACAAGUCCGUCGGGAAAUCCGCCCGCUCAACGGGCGGCCGUCCGACGGAAACUGCACAGCUUGGGACCGGAAGGCUCGAAGGGUACGUUCGGGGUAGGAGUGAAAUCCCAUAAUCCCGCACGGACCACCGAUGGCGAAAGCACUUCGAGAAAACGGAUCCGACAGUGAGGGACGAAAGCUGGGAUCUCGAACCGGAUUAGAUACCCCGGUAGUCC
rnacentral:rRNA from 1 species